AGAACAGUGUCCGGAACAUGUCCUGACUGUACCCGGGGGAAUAGCUGGUGCAACGAGCACAGUGACGUCAGAAUUAUGGCGACUUUCGUCUUCAGAUGUGGAGCGUGCGGCCUUUUCUUUGCCACAUUGUCUGCCAUGCAGACCCAUCGAUGUAAUCGUACCUUGUGCUCAGAAACUGCACGGGAAACUGAUGAAGCACCUGAAAACAGUGGGGAAGUAGAGGUGAACAGUGAACAACCUGCCACCCAAGCUUCAGACGGAUUGAACCUUCCAUCUUGAAGUGUGUUAAUAGAAAUAUAUCCAGCAACCUACCUGAUGUUUUGCCGGAACAACUACAACAUUGGACCACAUGCACUGGAACCUUCUUAUUCAAGGACUACCAGUGGGGAAGGGCUGUAUUUAGUUGUUGCUGUCAAUUAUCUUGGUACCAGUCAUGACAACAUUUACAUACCUGCAGCAGAGGCCCUACCGACUAUAAACAAUCAUAGCUGACGGAUUGAACUAUUUCAUCUUGAAAGCGUGUUCAUAGGAAUAUAUCCAGCAACCUGUCUGAAGUUUUGCCAGAAUAACUACAACAUUGGACAACAAGCUCCGGAACUUUGUUAUUCAAGACAGUCCUUAUUGUGUGUUGGCAGAAAUGCAGAGUGGUACCACCAGUCGUCUAUGCCACCUUUCCCCUCAUUUUAGAGGCUAAUGUGGACAGUCCCUGCAGUUUACAGCUAAGCCCUCAGUAUAGCCCUACAAAUUUUAGAUACUGCUGAUGGCGUAGAUCCGGUACAUUAGGCCGGAGUUUCCAGUACUGGAUUGACAUUUCCAUGCAGCCGAACUAGAGCCAGGAUUAAUAUCAGACGGACCUCUCUGUGGGUGGAUGGAUUCAGAGAUGACCCCAAAGAUGUGGCCAUGACUGUGUCACAUGGAUGUUAUAGAUGAAACCAUCUUGAUUUAGUUUUCUGGUGAUAAAUCAACAGACAAAGUGUUCAUAAUUUGUGGAUAAAUAGUGUUUAAGCUAGAAACUUUUCUACAAUUUUUUACUCAAGUGGUGAAAUGAAAUAAUUUUGCAUAUAACAAAGAAGAGAAUCUUGCUGUGGGCCGACUUCAUACACAAUUCUGCAGUUGUCUGCACUAGACCUGUUCGGGCAAUUUGAUUUGAUUUAUCAGUGGCUCUACUUAAAGCAAGCUUUUGUUUUCACAAGCUUGAUGUAAUAUUCUUAUUUUCACACUAAAAAAACACUGACAUUUGACAAGUUCCAUGACAUAUUUGAAACAUAUUUCCCAAAAAUUUAAAAAGGUAACAACCCUUCAAAAUUUUGUUUACAUCAUUGUUUUUGAAUGAAAAUUUAAGAAAUUUGAAAUUCUACCUCUUUUAAACACAAUAUACCGGCUUGGAGACUCAAAUUUAUCUCUAAGAUUGCCAGAGAUUUACAUGACGUCUGUUCAAACUUGUAAAUACUUAUAAUAAAUUUAAUAUGAUAAUGGAUACAGUUAACUAUAACAUGACAUUAUUUUUGUUUUGUACAAAAUCAAUGUUUAUUUUUUUCUGAAUAGUAAUGUUUAUACUUUUUAUGCAGCCAAUGGUGUUUUGGACUUUUGUUAAGCAUAAGCAUCUAGAUUUUCCAUUUUAUUUUUAAACAUGUACACAAUUUAUUCAUUGCAUCUUUUAUUAUGAAUCAUAAGGGAUCAAAUGCUGUUAAAAUAACUUAUUGUAUACAUCUUUUUAAGUGACACAUAUGUAUUAAAAUGGCCUUAAUAUUAUUGCCAUUUAUAAGAAUAAUAAAAUAAUAAAAGUUGAGACCAGUUUGUGGUAGCCUCUGAGUCAG